rnacentral:rRNA from 1 species
UACAGAGGUCUCAAGCGUUGUUCGGAUUCAUUGGGCGUAAAGGGUGUGUAGGUGGCGCGCUAAGUCGGGUGUGAAAUUUCGGAGCUUAACUCCGAAACUGCAUUCGAUACUGCGGUGCUUGAGGACUGGAGAGGAGACUGGAAUUCAUGGUGUAGCAGUGAAAUGCGUGGAGAUCAUGAGGAAGACCAGUGGCGAAGGCGGGUCUCUGGACAGUUCCUGACACUGAGGCACGAAGGCCAGGGGAGCAAACGGG